GACGAACGCUGGCGGCGUGCUUAACACAUGCAAGUCGAACGGAAAGGCCCUGCUUUUGUGGGGUGCUCGAGUGGCGAACGGGUGAGUAACACGUGAGUAACCUGCCACUGACUUUGGGAUAACUUCAGGAAACUGGGGCUAAUACCGGAUAGGAGCUCCUGCUGCAUGGUGGGGGUUGGAAAGUUUCGGCGGUUGGGGAUGGACUCGCGGCUUAUCAGCUUGUUGGGGGGGUAGUGGCUUACCAUGGCUUUGACGGGUAGCCGGCCUGGGCGGGGGACCGGCCACAUUAGGAUUGGGAUACGACCCAGCCUCGAACGGGAGGCAGCGGUGGGGAAUAUUGUACAAGGGGCGGAGGCCUGGUGUGGCAACGCCGCGUGCGGUAAGACGGCCUGCGGGUAGUAAACCGCUUUCGCCUGUGACGAGGCGUUAGUGACGGUAAUGGGUAAAGAAGCACCGGCUAACUACGUG
rnacentral:rRNA from 1 species